rnacentral:rRNA from 1 species
UCAGGACGAACGCUGGCGGCGUGCUUAACACAUGCAAGUCGAACGGAAAGGCCCCUUCGGGGGUACUCGAGUGGCGAACGGGUGAGUAACACGUGGGUGAUCUGCCCCAAACUCUGGGAUAAGCCUGGGAAACUGGGUCUAAUACUGGAUAUGACCUUCUGCUUCAUGGUGGUUGGUGGAAAGCUUUUGCGGUUUGGGAUGGGCCCGCGGCCUAUCAGCUUGUUGGUGGGGUAAUGGCCUACCAAGGCGACGACGGGUAGCCGACCUGAGAGGGUGAUCGGCCACACUGGGACUGAGACACGGCCCAGACUCCUACGGGAGGCAGCAGUGGGGAAUAUUGCACAAUGGGCGCAAGCCUGAUGCAGCGACGCCGCGUGAGGGAUGACGGCCUUCGGGUUGUAAACCUCUUUCGGCAGGGACGAAGCGCAAGUGACGGUACCUGCAGAAGAAGCACCGGCCAACUACGUGCCAGCAGCCGCGGUAAUACGUAGGGUGCGAGCGUUGUCCGGAAUUACUGGGCGUAAAGAGCUCGUAGGCGGUUUGUCGCGUCGUCUGUGAAAUUCUGCAACUCAAUUGCAGGCGUGCAGGCGAUACGGGCAGACUUGAGUACUACAGGGGAGACUGGAAUUCCUGGUGUAGCGGUGAAAUGCGCAGAUAUCAGGAGGAACACCGGUGGCGAAGGCGGGUCUCUGGGUAGUAAC